CCGCGGCGGGGCUGCGUCGGCUGCGGCGGGUGUGGGAGGUGGCGACGGCCGGGGCCGGGGUCCUGCCCGGCUGCGGAGGCGGGCGCGACGGGCGCGGGGGUCGCUGCUCCUGAGGCGAUGAUGGGCAAGGAGGAGGAGAUUGCGCGGAUCGCCCGGAGGCUGGACAAGAUGGUGACCAAGAAGAGCGCGCAUUUGUCACCCUCCGUCUCCCAUAGCAUUUGUCGCCGGCAACAGUUCGGAGUCUGAGGUUGGAUCCCCUUUUCUUCUGGAGCUUCCGUGCCUCCCCUGCCUCUUCCCAGCCCUUGUCAUCCUCCUUCAGAGGCCAGCCAGAUACCUGUCUUGCCUGUGGGCCCAUUUUCUUCCCUGUCUGUCCCCAUCCCACAAGAACCAGGUUUCUCUAAUAAAUUCUCUCCCUUCUUUA
rnacentral:sRNA from 1 species